rnacentral:tRNA from 1 species
GCGCCUGUGGUGGAAUGGCAGACACGCGGCGCUCAGAACGCCGUGCCUCGGCGUCCCGGUUCAAGUCCGGGCAGGCGCA